rnacentral:rRNA from 1 species
AGGUAGCUUGCUACCUGACCUAGCGGCGGACGGGUGAGUAAUGCUUAGGAAUCUGCCUAUUAGUGGGGGACAACGUUCCGGAAGGAACGCUAAUACCGCAUACGUCCUACGGGGGAAAGCAGGGGAUCUUCGGACCUUGCGCUAAUAGAUGAGCCUAAGUCGGAUUAGCUAGUUGGUGGGGUAAAGGCCUACCAAGGCGACGAUCUGUAGCGGGUCUGAGAGGAUGAUCCGCCACACUGGGACUGAGACACGGCCCAGACUCCUACGGGAGGCAGCAGUGGGGAAUAUUGGACAAUGGGCGCAAGCCUGAUCCAGCCAUGCCGCGUGUGUGAAGAAGGCCUUUUGGUUGUAAAGCACUUUAAGCGAGGAGGAGGCUCCUUUAGUUAAUACCUAAAGUGAGUGGACGUUACUCGCAGAAUAAGCACCGGCUAACUCUGUGCCAGCAGCCGCGGUAAUACAGAGGGUGCGAGCGUUAAUCGGAUUUACUGGGCGUAAAGCGUGCGUAGGCGGCUUUUUAAGUCGGAUGUGAAAUCCCUGAGCUUAACUUAGGAAUUGCAUUCGAUACUGGAAAGCUAGA